rnacentral:rRNA from 1 species
UAAAUACUCCCGAGAGACCGAUAGCGAACCAGUACUGUGAAGGAAAGGUGAAAAGAACCUCGAACAGAGGAGUGAAACAGACCCUGAAACCAUGCGCCUACAAGCGGUCGGAGCAUGUUAAAGUGUGACGGCGUGCCUUUUGCAUAAUGAACCUACGAGUUACUCUCGCUGGCAAGGUUAAGCGAUUCAGUCGCGCAGCCGAAGCGAAAGCAAGUCCGAACAAGGCGUACAGUCAGCGGGAGUAGACGCGAAACCAAGUGAUCUACCCUUGGUCAGGUUGAAGGUUGGGUAACACCAACUGGAGGACCGCACCGAUAAGCGUUGAAAAGCUUACGGAUGAACUGAGGGUAGGAGUGAAAGGCCAAUCAAACUUGGAGAUAGCUCGUACUCCCCGAAAUGCAUUUAGGUGCAGCCUCGAAGCAGAGUGAUAGAGGUAGAGCGACUGAUAAGAUGCGAGGGCUUCACCGCCUAUCAAGUCUUGACAAACUCCGAAUACUAUCACUUGGUCUUCGGGAGUGAGGGCAUGGGUGCUAAGGUCCAUGUCCGAAAGAGGAACAACUCAGACCACCGGCUAAGGUCCCGAAAUAAGGGCUAAGUUGAACAAACGAAGUAAAACUGCAAAGACAGCUAGGAUGUUGGCUUGGAAGCAGCCAUUCAUUUAAAGAGUGCGUAACAGCUCACUAGUCGAGGAGUUUUGCAUGGAUAAUAAUCGGGCAUAAGCCCUUUACCGAAGCUGUGGAUGUCGCAAGACAUGGUAGGGGAGCAUUCCGGCGGCGACGAAGGCCGUCCUCGAGGACGACUGGAGCUCCCGGAAAAGCAAAUGUAGGUAUAAGUAACGAUAAAGGGGGCGCGAAACCCCCUCGCCAUAAGACUAAGGAUUCCUGAUCAACGCUAAUCGGAUCAGGGUAAGUCGGGCCCUAAGGCGCAGCCGAACGGCGCAGCCGAUGGAAGAAACGGUAAAGAUUCCGUUACUGGAUAUAGGAGCGAUGUGGAGACGGAGAAGUGACACACCCGCCUGCCGACGGAAGCGCAGGUUAAAGGAAGUAGGUAAACGCCGGGUAGGCAAAUCCGCCCAGCGUGCCGAAACUGACAGUAUCGAGAGCCCCCGGGCAAUCGAAUAGCGGUGGUAAUCAGGCUCCCAAGAAAAUCCGCUAAGCAUAUUCUAUAUCCACCCGUACCCCAAACGGACACACGUAGUCGGGUAGAAUAUACCAAGGCGCUCGAAAGACUCACGGUUAAGGAACUAGGCAAAUUGACCCUGUAACCUCGGGAAAAAGGGUCCCCAGUAAGAUGGGGCGCAGAGAAUAGGUCCAGGCAACUGUUUAACAAAAACACAGGGCUGUGCAAAAUUUCAAGAUGAAGUAUACAGCCUGACACCUGCCCGGUGCCGGAAGGUUAAGAGGAGAGCUUAUCGCAAGAGAAGGCUUGAAUUGAAGCCCCGGUAAACGGCGGCCGUAACUAUAACGGUCCUAAGGUAGCGAAAUUCCUUGUCGGGUAAGUUCCGACCUGCACGAAUGGUGUAAUGAUCUGGACACUGUCUCAACCGUGACUUCGGUGAAAUUGUAGUAUCGGUGAAGAUGCCGAUUACCCGCAACGGGACGAAAAGACCCCGUGAACCUUUACUGCAACUUAGCAUUGCGUUUGGGCAUUUGAUGUGUAGGAUAGUCCGGAGGCUACGAGUCGGCGACGCCAGUCGUCGAGGAGCCGCUGUUGAAAUACGGACCUUCGAAUGUUUGAGCGCUAACUCGCUGUAGCGAGGACACUGUUUGGUGGGUAGUUUGACUGGGGUGGUCGCCUCCAAAAGCGUAACGGAGGCUUCUAAAGGUGCCCUCAGACCGAUUGGUAACCGGUCGCAGAGUGUAAUGGCAUAAGGGCGCUUGACUGGGAGACAUACAAGUCGAUCAGG